ACUCGCUGUGCACAGUGUGAAAGUCCGAGUUCAACCGCGCUUCUCCGCAGAGACAACAGAGUUCGAUAAGAAUGCGUUCCUGGAUUCUCCUUUCUAUUGUCCUUGCUCUGGCAUUCAGCACCGUUAAGACGCGGAAAGCAAUGAGACAAGCUCAAUUCCUCUGCGAGAUCAUUAAAGAUAUUGAAUGGCUGUUGGAGAAGAAACAUCACCUGAACCUACAGUACGAGUACCAUAAGUUAACACGUGAUGCAGCUUGUAAGCAAGGUGUAACCGAAUGUCUCAAGGAGUUCAUCAACAUACUCAACAGACCUCAACAACAUCAACCUAAAAAAAAUAAAAACAAUGAGGACUUCACAAAAAUCGACAAACUGAAAGACAAGCUGAUUCAUCGUUUUGGGAUAUCCAAUAACCCGCUCUCCUUUCCAAUACAAUGGCGGAGUUUGAAGUGGAUUUUGAAUGAAAUGAAAUGGCAGAUUAAAUUGAAGACGAGUCAGAAGCCAACGUGCUAGCAUGGAACGAUCAGUUUCAUCCUCCGCUAUUCCCCUUCCUCUUGUUGUUGUUUUUCUGUGUUUCAUUCAGCUUGUGUGCAGCUUGUUCACCCACAUGUGUCAUUCUCCCCCUCCCCACUGAUCUCACUUUCACAUCUGCUCUGCUGUUUGUGUUUUCUCCUUUCCAUUUCCUUCCCUUCUUCUCAAGCUUUUCCACGAGUCUCCAUCAUGUAAUACCAAAAAAAUGAAGUACGUGCCUUGAAUGCGAUAUUAAAGGAUAUAUGUGUGCACAUGACACGCACACGCACAAAUAAAAACAAGGUGGAUGUCACAAAUGAUUGGAAGUGACAUCAUUCACAUUCAGUAAGCACUUAAAUCCAUUUGGACGUAAUUUAUCGAGGAAUGCUGAAAGUACUUCAAGACUAAUAUAAAUAAUAAUAUAUUGACAUGAUUGUGUAUUUAUAACAAACUGUUGUGACACCGAUAUCUACAUUAAAAUUCGUAUUGCAUAAAAAA
ensembl:lincRNA